GGGUGCGAUCAUACCAGCACUCAUGUACCAGGUCCCAUCAAAACUCCGAAGUUAAGUGUGCUUGGGCAAGAGUCGUAUUAAGACGGGCUUUGUUACAGAACUUC
rnacentral:rRNA from 1 species